AUAACUUUAUGAAAAAAAAAAAGGCCUUUGCUUAACACGCUAAAUUGGCUUUGAUAGACAUGAUCAUAGGCAACCAAAAAAAUUCCACAAAUCCAUGUCCGCCCGUCACCUGCUAAGCUACUUUACAUCAAUGUCACAACUUCGCAAGUGACAAGUUCGCAGCCCACGGGCGUAAACUCAUAGCAAAGGGGGAAAAAAUCAAGAAGAAAAGGGAGGGAACUAGCGACGACUCCCAAAAGAUACUGCUACUCGUCGUCGAGAUCCUCGUCUUCCUGAUCUUCAGCGAUCGUCUCCAAUUCCGUAUGUCUGAGAUUUCUGUCGCGAGCCGGGACGAGAAGAGCCGGUGCCGCCUCCAUCCACGGACUCGUCGAUACUCCGAUUCCCUUCACCAUGUCGCGGUCGUGGUUCUCGCCUCCGAUUCGAGAGCUCAAGCUUUGCUGGACUCGACUGAGUGAGCUCCGGUUGAAAUCGCAGGAAGAAGAAAGAGAGAAUUUCACAGCUCCUAUGAGACCGAAUCUCCAGUUGUCCCUCAGGAGCUCGGUGGUAGAGCCGUCGACCGUUAACUGAUCUGAGAGAGUGAGAGAGUGAGAGAGCGUUGGCUGGCUGGAGAAAAUAGGGGGGCGAGGGGUUUUUUAUAUGGACGGCAAGGAUGACCUUUUAAUUACUCCAAGAAAAACGUGGGGUUUAUCGCUACUUGGGGAAGCUUCGUCCUCCCUUCACUCUCGCGUGUUUGAAGGCCAAAGGCAAGUGGGGAACAAGGGACGUGUGAACGCGGGUAUUGGACUUUGAUCGGGCCCCAUUAAUUUAAAGGAAAAUCUCACUAAAGUGAUUCAUUUUUUUUUCCCGUGCACAACGUGGUACAAACUCUUUCUGUAAAACCAUUACCCCAAAUUUGUACUAGUGAUAUACUUUCCAUCAACGGUAGUUUUUUAGAUUAAUAUUGCGAAAAAUCACAAACUAGUACGCCUAUUACAAGCAUAAGGUAAAACUUCAAAUUAACACAUUUAUUAAUUAUCACGUAUCAUCCAAUUCAAUAAUUUAAUGAAAAUUAUUAUAAGGUAAAUUUAUUGUAAGUGUACUAGUUUAUGGAGUUUUAGGAAGUUAGAAAAUUAGUUCAGAGAAAAUUUGUUAAAGUCGAAACAUGUAUGCUAUCCCCAACUAACAAGCUUCUCAUGCCAUUUUUAAUGGACCGCCUCUUAGUUUCUUGACUCUUUACUCUUGAAUAUAGACGUUAGAAUCUCAGAUUUUCUAAUCCACAAGUUCCAAAAAGUGGCAAAUGAAGAGUGUACUUAGAAUCAUACCACUUUACCAAGCUAAUAACAAAAUUCUAAUCAAAAUAAGCCAUUCUGGGGGAGGAAGAAAAAGGACUUAGAAAGUCAUGAGUGUUAGAGAAAUCCCUUAUGAUGUUUUGAAGAUGACAAAAUAAAUCAAAGGCUACUAACAUGUUUGAUGGUUGAGUAAUAGACCAUGCAGAUAAUAGAACAUGUAAAGGAUAUUAUCAAAGUCUGAAGACUGCCAGACUCGAGACUCAAAGUCUGAAGACUGCCAGACUCAAGACUCAAAGUCUGAAGACUGCCAGACUUUAGUGUCAAAGUCUGUUCUACAUCAGAAGUCUGCUCACUCUGACAAAUUCCAGACUGAACGUGAAAGCUGAACCAGAAGACAGACUCUAUGCUGAAGCUGAACUGGGUAGAGACUCAUAUUGCAAAGUCUACAGACCCAGAUUGUAAAGUCUCAAGACUCAUAUCGUAAAGUCUAAAGACUCAGACUUUACAUCCAGAUUCAAUGAAUCGUAACUCAAGCCCAAUCAUACAACGGCUAGUGAUCUGGUUUGGAUUCCACAUCAAGAUUGAUUUGAUUGAAGACAAGAACUUUCUAUACGAAGAAGCUUUACUUAUGGAAACCAAGAUUUCGUUUGUAUGGGCGAUCGGAAUCAAUUUGGGAUUUUACCUUUGUCACUCAACGGCUACCAAAUCUUCUAAAUACAGAGCUGUCCAAUGGGUAUAUUGGAAGACGAUUCUCCGGGAUACUGUCCAACGGUAGUUUGGAAGUGGAGGAGUAUUUAAGGAGAUCAUGGACCGAUGAGCAAGUAAGAGACGGAGAGUAGAAUUUAUAAUUCCAAAGUCUAAGCGACUUUAGAUCAUAUACUUGUCUCUUGAGAGCUUAAACGUUUGUAAUCGUGAGAGAAAUACCAAGAGAGUGACUUAGUGAGAUAGUGUGAUCUACUACUAAGUGUUUGCACUCGGAGUUGUAAUCUCUUGUUGAUUGCAUAGUGGAAUCCAGCCAAGAAGGCUGUUAUCGUGGGAGAGUGGACGUAGGCUUGGAUUAAGCCGAACCACUAUAAAUCUCGUGUUCUUAUUCUCUUCCUUAACUCCUUUAUUUUGUUCAUACUAGCACUCUCAAUUGGUAUCAGAGCCAAGUGCUCGGUUUAUAAAAGUGUUUUUACUUUUGAGCUAAAGAUUCUUUAUGGCUAGUAUGUUGGCACCAGGUCUUAUGGAAGGGCAAAGCAACACAAGGCCACCAUAUUUCGAUGGAAGAAAAUACAAGCAGAAUGGCCAGAAAAGAACAAAAAAGAAGAAGAUGAUGAGCAAGAAAAUUUAUGCUUGAUGGAACAUUCAGAAUCUGAGUCUCACUCAGACAUAGACUCAGAAACAGAGUCUCAUUCAGAACCAGACUCAGAAUCCGAUGAGGAAAUUAAGGGGAGAAAUCAAAUCCAAAAGAAAAGGAAAAGAAUCGUGAUCAUCUCAAAAAGGCAACAAAUUGAGGGGGAGCUUUGAUCAAUUAUGGAAAAAUCUUUUUUGAUUGAUCGUGAUCUUAUUAUGGAUGGAAGGAAAGGUAAUUGUGUCAGAAUUUAUUCUACAAAAUCCGGUUAGUGCAUCUCUUAUUACCUUUUGUCAUUAACAAAUCUCAUAUUGAUAUUAUCAUGUUAUUAUGACAAAAAUGGUACGUGAAUUUUAUGAUGCAUCCGUGAUUUUUAUUGGAUAUUUAUUGAUAUGAUCGAAGUGAGCUAUAUUGCAUAUCUUUAAUAUUCGAUAAAAGCUGAUUUUUUGAAAUUGUGAUUCAUGCAAGAUAUUUGUUAUCAUUCUCUACGUGAAUCCAUUAUUAUCGCUUUUUGAUUAAGACAAAAAGGGGGAGAAGAUAUGAAUAUGCAUAUGUGCUGAUUGGUUGAUAUUAUUUAUUGCAUAAUAUUGAGCUGCGAUUAUUUUCUAAAUAUUAUUAUGCUCAAUCUAUUUGUUAUCUUCUGAUAUCCUUUGAUUUAAAUUAAUAAAAGCGUGUUUACAAAUCUGCAUAUUCAGAGAUUGUUUUGUCAUCAUCAAAAAGGGGGAGAUUGUUAGAGAAAUCCCUUAUGAUGUUUUGAAGAUGACAAAAUAAAUCAAAGGCUACUAACAUGUUUGAUGGUUGAGUAAUAGACCAUGCAGAUAAUAGAACAUGUAAAGGAUAUUAUCAAAGUCUGAAGACUGCCAGACUCGAGACUCAAAGUCUGAAGACUGCCAGACUCAAGACUCAAAGUCUGAAGACUGCCAGACUUUAGUGUCAAAGUCUGUUCUACAUCAGAAGUCUGCUCACUCUGACAAAUUCCAGACUGAACGUGAAAGCUGAACCAGAAGACAGACUCUAUGCUGAAGCUGAACUGGGUAGAGACUCAUAUUGCAAAGUCUACAGACCCAGAUUGUAAAGUCUCAAGACUCAUAUCGUAAAGUCUAAAGACUCAGACUUUACAUCCAGAUUCAAUGAAUCGUAACUCAAGCCCAAUCAUACAACGGCUAGUGAUCUGGUUUGGAUUCCACAUCAAGAUUGAUUUGAUUGAAGACAAGAACUUUCUAUACGAAGAAGCUUUACUUAUGGAAACCAAGAUUUCGUUUGUAUGGGCGAUCGGAAUCAAUUUGGGAUUUUACCUUUGUCACUCAACGGCUACCAAAUCUUCUAAAUACAGAGCUGUCCAAUGGGUAUAUUGGAAGACGAUUCUCCGGGAUACUGUCCAACGGUAGUUUGGAAGUGGAGGAGUAUUUAAGGAGAUCAUGGACCGAUGAGCAAGUAAGAGACGGAGAGUAGAAUUUAUAAUUCCAAAGUCUAAGCGACUUUAGAUCAUAUACUUGUCUCUUGAGAGCUUAAACGUUUGUAAUCGUGAGAGAAAUACCAAGAGAGUGACUUAGUGAGAUAGUGUGAUCUACUACUAAGUGUUUGCACUCGGAGUUGUAAUCUCUUGUUGAUUGCAUAGUGGAAUCCAGCCAAGAAGGCUGUUAUCGUGGGAGAGUGGACGUAGGCUUGGAUUAAGCCGAACCACUAUAAAUCUCGUGUUCUUAUUCUCUUCCUUAACUCCUUUAUUUUGUUCAUACUAGCACUCUCAAUGAGAGAUGUCACAAUAUGGAUUCAUUUAGGGAAGGCUAGUCUGCCCCUUCAAUACACAAUACAUUGCCCUAUAUAGGCAUGAGUUGCAUCGAACAUCACAAGGCAUCUAGAGGAUAAGUCCCUCUAAUGAUGCUACAGAUAAUAGAUAUGAAAGCCACAAAAUACGAAGGAUGGUUAAAGCAUUACAAACAAAGCACACUCCAUGCCAGGCUUGCUAAAGCAUGUGAUAAAGCAUAAAGCACCCUCCACACCUAGUACACUAGUAAAGCACACCAUUCUUAUUAUCGAAUUCCUCUUCAGUGCUGUCUACUAAACUAUCUAAGCUUUCUCUGUCUUUUGCUUUGCGAAAGGCGUGAAUAAGGCUGCCAAUCUUCCACUAUGACAAAAGCUGAUCAGCAGCAAGGUUGUUAGGGAUUCUUGAUGAAGAUGGACCAUCUAUUCUUCUUUUCUUAAAGGGAGAUGACUAGUCUGUCUAGGGUUGUGGCCAAUGAGACCAAUCUUCGAAAAUGGUGGAAGCCAACUAUAAAUCUAUGUUGAUGAAUUCAGAUGAGUGUGGGUCUUGGACUAGUGGCCCACCCCAUGGAUCUUGGGAGGACUAAGUGGGCACUUAAUCAUGGUCGGAACUAAGAUCCUCUCCAUGGUAUUCUCUUAAGGCUUGACAAAUUUGGUGGCUUAUUUCGGGGAAUUCUAGAUUAGUGUGUUGCUAGACUUUGCUACCUUCUUAGCCAAAUCUCUAGAGGAAUCACUCUGUUGUGUUGGUACAAAAUUCUCUGAAGUUCCUUAUAUUCCUAUGGGAUUUGUCUAAUUUUUGCUAAGAGGGUUUUGAAAAUAUCAUUUGUUCUUGGUUGAGGCUUGAAGUAAAGACACCAACCUUUGCCGGAGUCAGUUAAGAUCUCCACUUGGCCUAAGAAACAUCCAUGAUCUGUGAAAGAUGAUUAAAAUGCGAAGUUCUGGAUUUGGCUAGCAAACUUUCAAUUGUUCUUUAAAAACUAAUCUUUAGAUUCCUAAAAGGUUUAAACCAUCACCAUAAUCCUCCCAAAUGCACAAAAUCUGAUUGUCCUUGGAUAAUUAGGCUAAUGAUGAGAGGCAUUUUAGCUGUAGGAAAUUUGACAACAACUAUAUACAGAAUAAGCAUAUACCAAAUGAGCCAUUUAAGGUAUCCUUGAAAUGGGUCUAUGGGUGAGAUGGUAAAAGGAUACAUGAAUGGAUACUUAGGAUAUAAUCCCAAGGGUCUCAAACAUAAUCCACCAUAUCUGUUGAAGAUUCUUAGCUGAUAAACCAAUAGUAGAUUAAUUAAGUUUUCAAAGACAACAUUGCCUUAAAUGAGUUCUGAAAUUUUAGAAGGAUAUUUCCUACUUGGCCAUUUUGGCAACAUUGGUUGAGCUCAAAUUUGGUCACUAGCUACAUGAAAUUCAUUGGGGCUUGAUUUGGCCUGGAUAGAAAAUCUACAAGCACAUUCUUUUUUUUUUCUCCUGUAAUGCGUUUGGUUUCAAAAGAGUAUUUGAAAAACCAUUUUGACCAUCUCAAAUGCUAUGGGUGCAAAUUGUCUUUUGCUUGAAUUUCAACAUUUGGAGAAAAGAAGACAUGUCCAAUUCGACAAGAAAAUGGUGACUUAAGAGAUGGAAUUUGAAUUUCUUAAUCUCAUACUUAACAACCAAGAUUGCUUUGAACGUAGAAUAGUAAUGAAUUUUUGUUUGGGACAAUCUUCCACUUUCGUGUCCACAAAUUCUCCAAUGAGAUGGUGACGAAUAAGACUCCACGGACCAGAGACUAUGGUUAGUGAUGCUACUAGCUCUCCAAAUUUGGCUGUCGAUGUCACUUGUCCCGCCGACCCCGCUAACUCUCUAGAUUUUGACCGUCCAUGGCGGUCGGUGUCUCUUGCGAGCCCUACUCGUCCAUAGGUGGUGAUGCUACGGGCCCUCUAGAUCAGGCCAAUCAUGGUUGUCGGCAUCGCUCGUGGGCUUUGCUCGUCCAUGGCUUGUGGUGCUGCUAUCCAUGGUCGCGAGCCUUCGUCAUCCAAGGUUCACAAAAGGCAAAAGUAAAAAAAUAAAAAUAAAACAAAAUGGCGAAGUGACUUGUUUGAGAUCCAUCACCGAUGGAAGAAGAAUUCCGAAUAAAAUGCACGUCACCGUAUGAGUGGAUGCGAGGGAAAAAAAGGGGCUACCUUAGUUGUUGAUCUGGCACUAUGGAACCACUAACGAGAGUGUAGGCAAAAUUAGUGGAAUCGUACUUUUAUCCUUCUUGACAUUUUCAUCAUUGCUUGAGAGAACAAAAAUUAUAAGACAAAAUGCUAUUAGCCAAAUUUAAAUGUUGCAUUCCAACAUUCAUUCCACUUAUUUUCGCUUUCAAUAGAAGGCGAGGGGAAAAAAGAUAAGUAUCGGUAAAUAACCCACUUAUUUUCCCAUCUGCUUGUGUUUCUUUUUCUUAUUCUUAUCAGUAAAUAAUCCAUCUGCUCGUGUUGUCCAUUCCUUCUGGAGUAGUAGUAAGACUGUCAUGCCUUUGAUAUAAAAUUUGCUAUUCCUUCUACUUUAUUCGAGUCUUCACAACAAAUUCACAUGUAAUUUUUUCACAAUCAUAGAAGUUUUGAGGGAGAAAAAAUUACUUUAUGAAAAAAAAGGCCCUUGCUUAACACGAUAAAUUGGCUUUAAUAGACAUGAUCAUAGGCAACCAAACAAAAUCCCACAAAACCAUGUCCGCCCGUCACCGGCUAAACUACUUUACAUCAAUAUCACAACUUCGCAAGUGACAAGUUCGCAGUCCACGGGCUUAAACUCAAAGCAAAGGGGGAAAAAUCAAGAAGAAAAGGUAGCGAGCUAGCGACGACUCCCGCAAGCUACUGCUGGUCGUCGUCGAGAUCCUCGGCUUCCUGAUCUUCUGUGAUCGUCUCUAAUUCCGUAUGUGUGAAACUUCUGCUGCGAGCCGGGACAAGAAGAGCCGGCGCCGCCUCCAUCCAUGGACUCAUCGAUCCUUCGAUUCCCUUCGCCAUAUGUUGCGAUCGCGAUUCCCGGCUCCGCUUCGAGAGCCCAAGCUUUGCUCGACUCGACCGAGUGAGCUCCGGUUGAAAUCGCUAGAAGAAGAAGAGGAGGAGAAUUCCACAACUGCUCUGGGAGAGAUGGGGACUCUGUGAGAGAGACCGAAAUUGUUGGGUGUUGGAGAAAAUCGGGGGGAGAGCGGCGGUUUUUAAUACGGGGGGCGAGGACAACUUUUUGACUGCUCGAAGGAAAACGUGGGGUUUGUUGCUACUUGGGGAAGCUUCGUCCUCCCUUCACUUUCACAUGUUUGUAAGGCCAAAGGCACGUGGGGGAACAAGAGACGUGUGAACGCGGUCGGGCCCCAUUAAUUAAAAGCAAAAUCUCAUCAAAUUAAUUAAUUUUUUUCCCCGUGCAUGACGUUAUACCAAACUCUUUCCGGAAAACCAAUGCCCUAGAUUUGUACUAGUGACUUGAUUAUACUUUUUGUUAAUACUACUUUUUUCAGUUAAUAUUACAAACAAUUAUAAAAUGGUAUACUUAUUAUAUAUGUAGAAUAAAACUUCAAAACGGUAUACUCGUCAACCGUGACGUGUCAUGCAAUUUAACAAUUUGAUUAAUAGAUAGUGAAUUCGGCAUAAAUGUAAUAGAUUUGGAAGUUUUAGAGUGUCAAAAAAAUAGUUUAGAAUAAAUUUGUUAAAUGUGUAUUGAUUUGAGAUUUCUUAUGAUGUUAACUUUAGAUUUUUAAAUCUUCGAUGCAGCAGAGUGCAUGAACAACAAUGAAUCGAAUUUUCUACUGUCAUUACAGAUGAAAGUUCAAUAAAAUGUAUUUUUGGAUCAUUGGUACAAAUUAGGAUAUUAAUAAGACAAAAAAAAUUGAGGUAUUGGUGUCCACUGGAACAAGUUUGCGAAUUUUGGUGAAUUUUUUCUUAAUGCAAUUGAUUGGAAAAUGAUGUGGACCGUGAGGCCGCGCACUCACAAAAAUUCCUUCUUGUGCACUCAAGCCUCGAGCAACCCAACUAUUGCAUGUACUGGAUGCAUCGCCGAAACCUAGACAUCGGUAACAUCGAUUAUGGUAGGAUUCCUCUGUUUUACACGUAGGGCAACCACACUCAAUAAGGCAUAAUAAUACGGGGUGCAUGCAUUUGCUCUGUACAAUAACUUUUCCUAAACAAUAAUCGAACUAUCAGAUCGCAUGAGUUAGUACGUAGCGGCCAAUUUGAUUCGAGGACGCAUGCAUACACACCAAAGGACAUGCUAAACUUUGGAGGGAAUUUGGUUGGGAAUAUUUUUUAUUUUGUCCAUCCAUGGAAUACUUUCACUACCUAAAUUUCUGAUUAGUCAAUGAUGAAUAAAGACAUCACCCGAUUUUAAUUCUAGUUAAGCUUUGAUCUUCAUGUAUUGAAAGGUUCGAAAAACUUAUACAUGUUGAUUUCACAGACCAAUUUAAACAUAAUUAUUUUGCGAUUUUUAACUUUUAUUUAUUAUAUUUUUAAUUUGAGGGGACUGGAAAAGAAAAAUUACUUUAUUAGAACAAGAGGCCCUUCCUUAACACGAAAAGUCGGUUUUCAUUGAUAUGAUCGUAGACAACCAAAAAAAAUUCCACAAAUCCAUGCACAGCUUCCCAGUUCACGCGCUUAUGCACAGAGCAAAGGGAAAAAAAAGAAAAAAAAGAACAGGGAGUGGACCAGCCACAACUUCCCACCAAAAAAUAAGAGGAAAAAGAAGAAGAAAAUCUGCUAUUCAUCACCGAGAUCCUCAACUUCCUGAUCCUCUCUAAUCGUCUUCAAUUGAGGAUGUCUGCAACUUCUGUCACGAGCCGGCACGACCUCCAUCCACAGUCUCAAUCCUCCGAUUCCCUUGACUAUGUUGGUACUGCGAUUCCCGAUUUAGAUUCGAUAGAUUUGAUUUGGUGUGGUAAUGGCUUGAAGAAAACAUGGCAUUCGUCACGAUUUAUUUGACACAUUCGUUCGCAUUCAAAAUUUUAUGAACAGCUUGUACGUGUCACCAGUCAUGGACUAGUGGUGGUAGUGUCUAACGGCCAGGCUAGGCUGUGCUUAGACUCCAAUGUGGACGAGCAACCAUAGAAUCUUUGGAUGGCUUUGGAGAUCGAGAUAAGCGAGGCCAAAUCUAAAUGAGUGAUGAUGGAGCUGACCACGAGCCACGAGUCACGACGAAUGGGGUAGCAGGUUACCAUCCAUGUACGAACGAGAGUCACGUCUGUGGACGAGCGACCUCGCUAGUCUUGGACCAGCAAGUGUAGUUAGUGUACUAGCUCUCCAUAUUUGGCUGUUGAUGUCACUCCUCACUAACCGUGCUAGCUUUUUAGAUUUGGCCAUCCAUCGCCGUCGGUGUUAGGGGUGUGCAUGGUCCGGGCGGGCGGUUCCCGACCUAGAACCGGGAACCGCCUGCUAAGGACCGAUUCUGAAAAAUCGAAACCGGGAUCCAUCCGGGAACCGGACCGCUGGUCCGGUCCGGUUCCCGGGUGGAUCCAUGGAACCGAUUUUGACGCCAAAAAUUCUGGUUAUCAACAGCGAAACAAUUUUGGUUUCCCGGACCGCCGGUCCGGAAGUUUUGAGCUCUAAAAUUCCAAGUUUCAAUCUCCAAAAACUAAAACAAUAAUUAAUAGACGAAUAAUAGACGAAUUUCUUUUGCAUUAGUCCUCCCUCUCAAGCUCAUUAUCCACCAUGAAGCGUGCCUCUGCCUAACUUCCUCUCGAUGUUGCUGUGAAACUCCAACCAAGCGGUGUUUUCGUUGAAGCAAAGCUCCUUUCCACGCCAGAGAGCCGUUGGAGGGAGAAGCAAAUCAAUAGGGUACUACAAUUGCAAGUCUUUCAUUACUAUACAAGGCCGUAGACAAUUAAAUCACCUGCACAAAUGCGAAGGGGCGGACAGCAGUGGCAGAGGAGCAACAACGGCGGCGUUGAGGCUUAGGGAGGAAUCAAAGACGAAGGGACUGAGCGUCGGCGAGGGGGGCGGACAGCAGAGGCGGAGGAGCAGCGGUUGUGGCAACCGGCGCGAGGGGGCGGACAGUGGCCGAGGAGGAGCAGCGGCGGCGGCGUGGAUGCUUGGUGAGGAAUCGAAGAUGAGGAGAAGAGAUUGAGGAAGAAACAGAGAGAUAAUCAAAGACUGAGGAAGAAAUCGGAAGAGAAUCAAGAGAUGAGACGCAAAUUAGGACUUCGUACCUUGUUGAGUGACGGAAAAGGGGCUCGUCGGCUCGGUCGAGAGUUCUUGCAGAGGCGGAGGAGCAGCGGUUGUGGCGAGUGAUGACCGGCAUGAGGGGGCGGACAGUGGCGGAGGAGGAGCAGCGGCGGCGGCGUGGAUACUUGGGGUGGAACCGUGGAAUCGAAGACGAAGAGAAGGAAAGGAACAGAGAGAAUCGAAGGCUGAAGAAGAAGAAACACGAAUUAAGGCUUCGCGAAUUAGGGGCAGGGGGCUUCGCGACUUUUUUUUUUUUUUUUAAUUAUAAAUAGUACUGGUCCGGUUUGGGUGGGUGGGCGAGCGGGCGGAUCCGCCCACGGAAUCGGGAACCAGACCGGUUCCCACUGGUUCUCAACAAUUGGACCUGGGAACCGGACCAGUUCCCUUGAGAACCGCCGGUUCCGAGCGGUUCGGGUCCGGUUUCGGGCGAUUCCCCGGUCCAAUGCACACCCCUAGUCGGUGUCUCUUGCGAGCCUUACUCGUCCAUGGGCAGUGAUGCUACCGGCUCUCUAGAUCUGGCCAAUCAUGGAAUUUAAGAGUGGAUGUGAGGGGAAAAAAAAAGGGUGCUACCUUAGCCGUUGAUAUGGCACUUUAGAACCACUAACGAGAGUGUAGGCAAAAUGAGUGGAAUUGUACUUUUAGCCUUUUUGAAAUUUUCAUCAUUGCUUUUAAGAAAAAAAUUAUAAGACAAAAUGCUACUAGCCAAAUUUAAAAGGGUUGCAUUCCAAUAUUCAUUCUACUCAUUUUCGCUUUCAAUAGAAGGCGAGGGGAAAAAAGGAUAAUUAUCAGUAAAUAACCCUCUUAUUUUCCCAACCGCUUGUGUUUCUUUUUCUUAUUUUGAUCAAUUAAUAAUCCCUCUGCUCGUGUUGUCCAUUCCUUACGGAGUAUUAGCAAGACCGUCAUGACUUCGAUUUUUCCUAUAUGCAGCUUAGUAAUAUCAAGGAUAUAAAAUUUGCUAUUCCUGCUACUUUAUUCGAGCGUUCACAACAAAUUCACCUGUAAUUUUUUCACGAUUGUAGAAAUUUUUGGGGGAAAAAAUUACUUCAUGAAAAAAAAGGGCCUUGCUUAACACGAUAAAUUGGCUUUGAUAGACAUGAUCGUAGGCAACCAAACAAAAUUCCACAAAUCCAUGUCCGCCCGUCACUGGCUAAACUACUUUACAUCAAUGUCACGACUUCGCAAGUGACAAGUUCGCAGUCCACGGGCUUAAACUCAAAGCAAAGGGGAAAAAAAUCAAGAAGAAAAGGUAGCGAGCUAGCGACGACUCCCGAAAGAUACUGCUAGUCGUCGUCAAGAUCCUCGGCUUCCUGAUCUUCUGCGAUCGUCUCCAAUGCCGCAUAUUUGAAACUUCUGCCGCGAGCCGCGACGAGAAGAGCCGGUGCCGCCUCCAUCCACGGGCUCAUCGAUCCUCCGAUUCCCUUCGCCAUAUGUCGCGAUCGCGAUUCCCGACUCCGAUUCGAGAGCUCAAGCUCAAGCUUUGGUCGAAGAGUAAGCUCGACUGGGUGGGUUAGCUCCGGUUGAAAUCGCUGGAAGAAGAAGAAGAGAAUUCCACAACUGCUCGGAGAGAGAUGGAGACUUAGAGAGAGAGAGAGAGAAUGUUGGAUGGUUCGACAAAAUCGGGGGGCGAGAGGCGGUUUUUAUCAUGGAGAGCAAGGA
rnacentral:lncRNA from 1 species